UCAAUAAGCGGAGGAAAAGAAACCAACAGGGAUUGCCCUAGUAACGGCGAGUGAAGCGGCAACAGCUCAAAUUUGAAAUCUGGCGCAAGCCCGAGUUGUAAUUUGUAGAGGAUGUUUCAGGGCAGCGGCCGGUCUAAGUUCCUUGGAACAGGACGUCAUAGAGGGUGAGAAUCCCGUAUGCGACCGGUUGGCACCCGUCACGAAACUCCUUCGACGAGUCGAGUUGUUUGGGAAUGCAGCUCUAAAUGGGAGGUAAAUUUCUUCUAAAGCUAAAUACCGGCCAGAGACCGAUAGCGCACAAGUAGAGUGAUCGAAAGAUGAAAAGCACUUUGGAAAGAGAGUUAAAAAGCACGUGAAAUUGUUGAAAGGGAAGCGCAUGCAACCAGACUUGUCGGCGGUGUUCCGCCGGUCUUCUGACCGGUCUACUCGCUGCCGGCAGGCCAGCAUCACUUGGGGCCGUUGGAUAAAGGCUCGGGAAUGUAGCUCCUCGGAGUGUUAUAGCCCGGCGCACAAUACGACGUGUCCCGAGUGAGGUCCGCGCUUCGGCUAGGAUGCUGGCGUAAUGGUCGUUUGCGGCCCGUCUUGAAACACGGACCAAGGAGUCUAACAUCUAUGCGAGUGUUCGGGUGUCAAACCCCUACGCGUAAUGAAAGUAAACGGAGGUGGGAGCUUCGGCGCACCAUCGACCGAUCCUGAUGUCUUCGGAUGGAUUUGAGUAUGAGCAUAGCUGUUGGGACCCGAAAGAUGGUGAACUAUGCCUGAAUAGGGUGAAGCCAGAGGAAACUCUGGUGGAGGCUCGCAGCGGUUCUGACGUGCAAAUCGAUCGUCAAAUUUGGGUAUAGGGGCGAAAGACUAAUCGAACCAUAAACCUAUUUACUAGGUGGUUAAGAAUCUCUCUGAUAGGAGAUUUAGGCCGUGACCAACGGCCGACACCGUCAAAUUGCGGGGAGUCUCUGAAGGCUCGCCUCCGCCGCCGGCGCCCUGAAAGGGGAGACCGGCAGGCCGCCGUAAUGGGCGGCCGCAG
rnacentral:rRNA from 1 species